GGGGACUGUGUAGUAAUGGUCACAUUUGUGUUAAGGUGCCACUACCCAAUUGGCUCAAAUUUCAAAUUCAAUUACCUGUGAAAGUGAAACCAUUCUUCUGGGAGUUAUACUAACCCUUUGCUUCUUUUGCUUCGAUUCCGUUCCAUUAGCCAUGAGUUUUCAAGAUAUCCAAGGUGGGCCCAACCCUCCCUCUCGCCGAAACCAGUCACCGUCUCAGGCCGUCGCUGCCGGAAUUUUCCAGAUCAACACCGCCGUCGCUACUUUCCGGCGACUCGUCGAUGCCGUUGGAACCGUCAAAGACACUCCCGAACACCGUCAGAAGCUGCACAAUACGAGGCAGAGGAUAUUGCAGCUGGUGAAGGAUACUUCUUCUAAGCUCAAAUCCUUGACUGAAUCUGAUCGUGAUGCUAAUGCCAAUGCUAGUAAGAAAAUUGAAGAUGCUAAACUUGCAAGAGAUUUCCAGACCACAUUACAAGAGUUCCAAAAAGUACAGCAGCUUGCUUCGGAGCGCGAAUCGAGUUACACCCCUGCUGCUCCUUCUUCUCCUUUACCAACAAGCUCCGGCCCCGGUGAAGCAUCAGUUGGGAUAGAUGUGGAAAACCAACCUUUCAUCAGAGAGCAGAAGAGGCAAGAGAUACUUCUGUUGGAUAAUGAAAUAUCCUUCAACGAGGCCAUGAUUGAAGAAAGAGAACAGGGAAUUAGAGAGGUAGAAGAGCAAAUAGGACAAGCAAAUGAAAUAUUCAAGGACCUAGCUGUUCUUGUUCAUGAUCAGGGUGUUGUUAUUGACGACAUUCAAUCAAACAUCGAUGCUUCUGCUGGUGCAACAACCCAAGGAAAGGUCCAGCUAGCCAAGGCUUCCAAAAGUGUGAAAUCCAGAACCUCAUGGGUGAGUUGUAAAAAUUUAUAACACUGAAAAAGCUCAAAUAAUAGUCAAACACUAUCAAGUUUCAGCUUCCCACUCGUAGUGGGGCAAGUUAGCUUCAUUUCAUAGACAAUAAAAUAUAAUGCCGUCAAUUUCAUGUAUGACAUUUGGAAUUUAUUUUUCAUAUGAUCAAUUUGUCUUAUUUCUUACAAAUGGCACUAUUUGCACACUUCCCUUGCAUGUUAACAUCUACACGCCACUCAUUGGCUACUUAGAGAAAAAUAUUCCAAACUUGGAAGAAUUCCAGUGUUGGUGGGUGCUUGUAAUUUUUGUGGUUGUGCUGGUCAUCCUACUUCUAGUACUCAUUCUUUAGUGUGCAAGUGCAUACAAGCUGGGCAGAUUUUUCUACUCCUUCAUUACUUGUCCAAGAUUGAUUUAAAUUGAUGAAUCUUCUCAUAUUUCGUUAGUGUUUAAUGGUGUGAAGAGUGUUUUGACCAAAAGAAAUGUGUUGAGGAGUGUAAUGCAACACAGUUUGAUAUGGUUGACUGCGCAUUUGCAGCUGGAAGUUGGAAGAAAUGACUGAGGCAAAGCGAUUUUAAGUGAACUUGUCUUGUAUUUGUAAUAUAGAUUUGCAAUAUAGGAUUUGUAGUUGCUGAAACAUGAAUUCGCAAGCCAUGUACCAUUACCAAUUUCUUGAUGGCAAGUGCAUGUGUGCAUAUUUUAUCGCCAUGCUGCAUUAUCGGGGCGAUAUAAUUCUUCCUUUGAAUCCUCCUCAGCGUAUUUGUUAACAUCACAUUCAAGUAAUGCAAGUUAAAAUCCUAUAUU